GCAGACGACUAGGUGAAUCGGAUAGCGGUAGCUGGGACCGCGCUUUGAUUUGAUGCAUUGAUAUGUAUCCUGGGUUGGCCCUGAACCUUAACGGCUUGUAACUAGUUUUAAGUGCUAAUACACUGUCCAUGGUUGUACCGUUGCAUUUAUGCAUAGAUCAAAAAUUGGGACCUACUGUUGCACUUAACAGAAGCUUUAAAACAAGCACACCGUUUCGUUCCACAUUGACGUUUACAAAUACAAUUUAAAAACCUUGUUCCCCAGAAAUAUGUACUAUUAUACUGGCAGUAAAUGAUAAGGUCUAUGUUGAAAUGACCCAUUUUAACGACUACUUACAUUUUUAGGUUGGCUGCUAAAUUAUCUUCAAUCAUCAAUUGAAUCUCAUUUUUGGUAGGUGAUUUCCCAGGUUUGUCUACGUAGUAAAUAUUUAAUUUUUCAUAAAAUUCAGAAAAUGAAUCAAACUCUAUUUUAUCUAAAAUAAUUAUUUCGUCAUAAAUGGUGAUCGAUCGCAUU